GUGGCUCAGUGGUAGAGUGCUUGCCUAGCAUGCAAGAAGCCCUGGGUUCAAUUCCUCAGC
rfam:Dipodomys ordii contig_54103, whole genome shotgun sequence.